UACGUAGGGUGCGAGCGUUGUCCGGAAUUAUUGGGCGUAAAGAGCUUGUAGGCGGUUUGUCGCGUCUGCUGUGAAAAUCCGGGGCUCAACCCCGGACUUGCAGUGGGUACGGGCAGACUAGAGUGUGGUAGGGGAGACUGGAAUUCCUGGUGUAGCGGUGAAAUGCGCAGAUAUCAGGAGGAACACCGAUGGCGAAGGCAGGUCUCUGGGCCACUACUGACGCUGAGAAGCGAAAUGCAUGGGAGCGAACAGG
rnacentral:rRNA from 1 species